rnacentral:rRNA from 1 species
GGACCCGCACAAGCAGUGGAGCAUGUGGUUUAAUUCGAUGAUACGCGAGGAACCUUACCAGGGCUUAAAUGUAGUCUGACAGGGGUGGAAACACCCCCUCCUUCGGGCAGAUUACAAGGUGCUGCAUGGUUGUCGUCAGCUCGUGCCGUGAGGUGUCAGGUUAAGUCCUAUAACGAGCGCAACCCCUGCCGUUAGUUGCCAGCAUGUAAUGAUGGGAACUCUAACGGGACUGCCGGUGCAAACCGCGAGGAAGGUGGGGAUGACGUCAAAUCAUCACGGCCCUUACGUCCUGGGCUACACACGUGCUACAAUGGCCGGUACAGAGGGCAGCCACACCGCAAGGUGGAGCGAAUCCUUAAAACCGGUCUCAGUUCGGAUCGGAGUCUGCAACUCGACUCCGUGAAGUUGGAAUCGCUAGUAAUCG